rnacentral:rRNA from 1 species
AUUGAACGCUGGCGGCAUGCCUAACACAUGCAAGUCGAGCGCGCGGCGGACGGGUGAGUAAUGUCUGGGGAUCUGCCUGAUGGAGGGGAAUAACUACUGGAAACGGUAGCUAAUACCGCAUACCAUCAGAUGACCCCAGAUGGGAUUAGCUCGUAGGUGAGGUAACGGCUCACCUAGGCGACGAUCCCUAGCUGGUCUGAGAGGAUGAUCAGCCACACUGGGACUGAGAAACGGCCCAGACUCCUACGGGAGGCAGAAGUGGGGAAUAUUGCACAAUGGGCGCAAGCCUGAUGCAGCCAUGCCGCGUGUAUGAAGAAGGCCUUCGGGUUGUAAAGUACUUUCAGUCGGGAGGCGUUACCGACAGAAGAAGCACCGGCUAACUCCGUGCCAGCAGCCGCGGUAAUAC